UACGAAGGGGGCUAGCGUUGCUCGGAAUUACUGGGCGUAAAGCGCACGUAGGCGGCUUUCUAAGGUACGGGGUGAAAUCCUGGAGCUCAACUCCAGAACUGCCUUCGAUACUGGAAAGCUCGAGUCCGGGAGAGGUGAGUGGAACUGCGAGUGUAGAGGUGAAAUUCGUAGAUAUUCGCAAGAACACCAGUGGCGAAGGCGGCUCACUGGCCCGGUACUGACGCUGAGGUGCGAAAGCGUGGGGAGCAAACAGG
rnacentral:rRNA from 1 species